ncrna:unclassified sequences Glutamine riboswitch
UACUUUCAUCCUUAAGGAUGGAAGUAAGUAUUAAUAUAAUACUGAAGGAACGCAUU